CUAAUAUUCGCUUUUCUUCAAAGGCAUAUUUGGGAAUAAAAAUUUUGCGCAGUCCGAGGCAAACUCGUCCCUACUAGUUUUCUUGCAAAUCCGUGGCAUCACUUGGCGCAAAUCAAGAAGAGAGUGAUGGGGAUAAUAAGAAGCAGUUUUUCAUUCAUAUCAGGAACUGUUUGCGGUAUAUAUAUAGCUCAGAACUACAAUGUUCCCAAUAUUCAGAAGCUUAUAGAGAACGCUUUAUUUAAGGCUAAAGAUGUUGAAGAGAAAUACCGCAAGCCUGGCGAUCGCCUUUAGAUUCAGUCUCUUUCAUUUCAGGAUGAACUUAAAUGAAGCCACAUGGACAUUGAUGAUUCAUACAGCCGAUCUCCACUUGCUUGGGAUUGAGGAUAGCGAGCCAUAAGAAAGCCCGUCUGUUUGGCAUACUUGUGAAAGGAGAAAUCUAGAUUCUUUAGAAAAUGACAUACUUAGAAGUAAGGGAGUAACUGUAAUUUCUAUAGUCUAGAUAUUGGGGACAACCAAUGAUAAAAGUGUACUUCUGCAUGCUUUCUUACUCUACUGUACGGUAUUGUGGUUAUAUCUGGUGCAUUGUCUACUUCCUGCUGAGUUGGUGUUCUUUCUCUGCUGCACUUCUUCAAGACGGAAGGGGCCAGGCCAGAUGUGAAGCUUGUGCAUUUUUUUCGUGGUGUAUGUGAUUAAAAGAUUUAAGAAUGGCCUUGUAGAAUCGUUUUCUUUAAAUACAGAGGUGUUUAUAUAGCUCUGCGGCACCUUAUUUCUUGUGAGAGUGGGACAAUCAUGUGUGUUGGUCUUUGUAAACCAAUCUCUUAAAAUUGUUUUAUUUCAUGUCUUUGGUACUCUA